AUUCGCGAGUGUUAGGCUUAACUAUUCCAUCUUUUGAAUAGAAUAAAUUAGAGAAGAAAAAGUCUUCAAUUCGGUGGAAUGGGUAUCUGCAUAUCCUCUGAAUCUUCAGCGAUUCAUGGAUCCCCUGAAGAAGCUCGUGAUGAAAAAAUGUAUUAGUGUUUGAAGCAACAACCAAGGUUCUAAGUGGACUUUGCUCUGCUUACACUAAGCAAGUUGCUCCUUUACAAGGGUUAUGGAACGGAAAACGCGGCAUUUUGUGGCGUAUUUGAUGGGCAUGGAAAGAAUGGUCACGUAGUAAGCAAAAUAGUAAACAGCCGUUUGUCAUCAUCACUCAUACGGAGCCAAAAGAAAGUGCAUGCAAAUAUUGACACGGUUCGAAAGGGUGAUAAAAUAAACCAUGUCAUCAGCUCCAAACAAGAAUUCUCACGAAUGGGAAAGAGGCUAUUCUUGAUGCUUUCAGAGUGAUGAACAAGGAGAUCAAGCUACAAGAGAAUCUAGACUGUUCUUGCAGUGGAACUACUGCUGUAUUUGCGCUGAAGGAAGAACCACGCAUCCAGCGAGUGUGGUUACCCAAUGAGACCAGAUAUUUAUUGUAUUUGCAAGUGAUGGGGUAAUCAAGUGUUAUUUGCUUGAUUGAUUAAUUAAGAUAGUUUUGUUUUGCAUUUUGGUUUUAGGUGUGGGAUGUACUAAGCAACAAGGAGGUUUGCUCAAUUGUGUGGGGGCAGAAACUGAGAAAGAAGCAGCAUGGAAACACAAGUAUCCUUCUUCUAAGGUUGAUGACUGCACUGUGGUUUGCCUCUUCCUCCACAAGAAACCACAGUUUCUUGGUAACUAACAAAGUUGCCAUGUUGCUUGGGAUGCUAGAUGACAGAUACAAGUUAUAGAAACUAGAAAGUUGAUAAGAGGAUGUAUUGCAGCUGUUUUUCUAGUAGUUUCUCUCUUUUACUUUAUAAAUAUCCAUGUAUCUCUCCUAUCAUCAUGUCUAUCUCUCGUAUCAUAUCAUCUUUUAUUCCAUUUAAUACACAAUGAGUUACUUCUA